rnacentral:rRNA from 1 species
UACGUAGGUGGCAAGCGUUGUCCGGAUUUAUUGGGCGUAAAGCGAGCGCAGGCGGCUUCUUAAGUCUGAUGUGAAAGCCCCCGGCUCAACCGGGGAGGGUCAUUGGAAACUGGGCGACUUGAGUGCAGAAGAGGAGAGCGGAAUUCCUUGUGUAGCGGUGAAAUGCGUAGAUAUAAGGAGGAACACCAGUGGCGAAGGCGGCUUUCUGGUCUGUAACUGACGCUGAGGCUCGAAAGCGUGGGGAGCAAACA